GGCCAGACUCCUACGGGAGGCAGCAGUGAGGAAUAUUGGUCAAUGGCCGAGAGGCUGAACCAGCCAAGUCGCGUGAGGGAUGACGGCCCUACGGGUUGUAAACCUCUUUUGUCGGGGAGCAAAGAGAGUCACGUGUGGCUCAUUGAGAGUACCCGAAGAAAAAGCAUCGGCUAACUCCGUGCCAGCAGCCGCGGUAAUACGGAGGAUGCGAGCGUUAUCCGGAUUUAUUGGGUUUAAAGGGUGCGCAGGCGGAGGUGCAAGUCAGUGGUCAAAUUGCGGGGCUCAACCCCGUACUGCCGUUGAAACCGGAGCGCUAGAAUUCCGAUGCCGUCGGAGGAAUGUGUGGUGUAGCGGUGAAGUGCAUAGAUAUCACACAGAACACCGAUUGCGAAGGCAUCUGACGAAUCGGAGAUUGACGCUGAUGCACGAAAGCGUGGGUAUCGAACAGGAUUAGAUACCCGAGUA
rnacentral:rRNA from 1 species